ACUUUAAUUAGAAAAAUCAAAGUUCUUUAAAGGUAACAAAGCUGUAAAGUGGAGCACGAAGACGGAAGUAGGGCUGUGUGGUUUGUAUCCUCCCAGUGGCCAGAGUGAGGAACUGGGGGCCCAUAAGGGCACAGACUUGCCCAUCCUGGCCCUUUGGGGCUAUGGCUGUGUUUUUUGGCUCUCAGAGGAAAAGAAAAACAAGGAAGUUAAAGAGAAGACUGAGGCUUCCUGCCUCAACCAUUCCUGGCAAUUGGACUUUCUUCCUGAUCACCCGCUGGAGGGUUCUUAAUCAUGUAGCUCAGGUCUCUCUUAAUGAAUAUCUGCCUUCAUUCACCUUCAGAGGGCACAUGACACGCACACCAUCCUCCUCCUCCUUUCUUUUCCUCUCUCAGGUAAAAGAACAAAGCAUUUGUCAUCUCAAGGCUACAAGUAGUUUCUGGGUCAAUCACCUCGCCAGUUAUGGGGAGGAGUUAGGUACUACCCAGAUCCACAGUGCUGGCUUUGAGUACUAUGCUGUAC
rnacentral:lncRNA from 1 species